rnacentral:rRNA from 1 species
UGGGGAAUAUUGGACAAUGGGCGCAAGCCUGAUCCAGCCAUGCCGCGUGAGUGAUGAAGGCCCUAGGGUUGUAAAGCUCUUUCAGCGAGGAGGAUAAUGACGUUACUCGCAGAAGAAGCCCCGGCUAACUUCGUGCCAGCAGCCGCGGUAAUACGAUGGGGGCUAGCGUUGUUCGGAAUCACUGGGCGUAAAGCGCACGUAGGCGGACUUUUAAAGUCAGGGGUGAAAAUCCCGGGGCUCAAACCUCGGAACUGCCUUUGAUACUGGAAGUCUGGAGUCCGAGAGAGGUGAGUGGAACUCCGAGUGUAGAGGUGAAAUUCGUAGAUAUUCGGAAGAACACCAGUGGCGAAGGCGGCUCACUGGCUCGGUACUGACGCUGAGGUGCGAAAAGCGUGGGGAGCAAAACAGGAUUAGAUACCCUGGUAGUCCACGCCGUAAAACGAUGGAAGCUAGCCGUCAGGGUGCAUGCAUCUUGGUGGCGCAGUUAACGCAUUAAAGCUUCCCGCCUGGGGAGUACGGUCGCAAAGAUUAAAAACUCAAAAUGAAUUGACGGGGUC